rnacentral:rRNA from 1 species
CAGCACACCGGAACACCCUCAUCGCGGCCGUCACGAAGUCUCACAGCAGAAAAGCCAUCCUCGAGAUGGUAGAUGAGCGGCUGAGAGGGGAACUGAAUCAGUGGUGGUGGCAGAUGGAGCGUGUCAUGGUCACCGGGCUGAAAUGUGUCGAGCCGGCGCGUGACGAGCGACCAUCUAUCAAAGAUGUCAUCGACCUGCUCUCCAAGCACGAGCAAUCUCCGGCAUCUAGCCGUUACCUGAAAGAUACUUCAAUGAGCAAGGAUCGAUUUCCUUACAUACUUACUAGGAAUGUGGCUCUCGCAAAUGCAAGGGCAACAUCUUUAGCGUAGUGAACAUGUCCAUGAAAUAAUAUGAGUUCAUAGAUAUUAAAUAUGUGGAAUUUUGAAUCCUAUAGCUCUAUAGGCGUGUACAAGGUUAUGUUAAGUAAAAUAUCUCUAGUGUGGCAAAUAUUUUUGAAGCACGUUAAUUUGUGGGCACAAUUUAAGUAUCAGUUAAUCUAACCACCAGUCGACUGGUGGUUAGCGUCAGGCACGUACGAAAAAAGAAAGGGCGGCCAAGACGGGAUUCGAAUCCCCGACCUCCUGCAAGUGCACCAUCCCAGUAACCAACUCACCCAGACUUCAUUGUUGUAAAAAGUGCUCAGACUAUGAAUGUAUUGCGUACUGGCUCUUUGUUCAACGUUUAAAA